GGUGGUCAUGCAGGGAUUACAAAUCCCACAUGGGGAAAGUAAAAACAAAAUUAAAAAAUUAAAAAGUGAAUAUAAGUGGAUGGUUUGCCACAUUUACUUGGCUUGUUGGUCAGCGCAAGACUAACAACCAGGAAGAGAGAACAGAACCUUAAAGGAAGAACUUGAUGAAUCAUUUGCAUUUCAACGAACUGAACUCAGGACUCUCCUAAUCCAACUACAACACAUAAGCACUACCCAAACAAAUCAGCGACGCCAUACAAAAGGAUCCAUCAUAAACAAACCCAAUUUUAAACACAAAUUCAUGAGCCAACCACCCUUUAUCAAAACAAAGAGCCAAACCCAGAUUUUAACACUGCAAAAAGCUGACAAAACUCCAAUUGAAAACCCACCCAAUGGAAUCAAUGUCCAGAAAAACCCAAUACUUCAUAGAAACUCAAGGCUUUUCACGAACAAUAUAAAAUGAAAGAAUAACAAAAUAAAAAAUAUAAACUAACAUGCUGCAAACCGCAAGAAUCGAAGUGGCAAAUAAACUCAC
rnacentral:misc_RNA from 1 species